AACUCUGGUAUUGAUUGGUGCUUGCAUCAUGAUUUACAUUUGAGUGAGUGGCGAACUGGUGAGUAACACGUGGGAAACCUGCCCAGAAGCGGGGGAUAACACCUGGAAACAGAUGCUAAUACCGCAUAACAACUUGGACCGCAUGGUCCGAGUUUGAAAGAUGGCUUCGGCUAUCACUUUUGGAUGGUCCCGCGGCGUAUUAGCUAGAUGGUGGGGUAACGGCUCACCAUGGCAAUGAUACGUAGCCGACCUGAGAGGGUAAUCGGCCACAUUGGGACUGAGACACGGCCCAAACUCCUACGGGAGGCAGCAGUAGGGAAUCUUCCACAAUGGACGAAAGUCUGAUGGAGCAACGCCGCGUGAGUGAAGAAGGGUUUCGGCUCGUAAAACUCUGUUGUUAAAGAAGAACAUAUCUGAGAGUAACUGUUCAGGUAUUGACGGUAUUUAACCAGAAAGCCACGGCUAACUACGUGCCAGCAGCCGCGGUAAUACGUAGGUGGCAAGCGUUGUCCGGAUUUAUUGGGCGUAAAGCGAGCGCAGGCGGUUUUUUAAGUCUGAUGUGAAAGCCUUCGGCUCAACCGAAGAAGUGCAUCGGAAACUGGGAAACUUGAGUGCAGAAGAGGACAGUGGAACUCCAUGUGUAGCGGUGAAAUGCGUAGAUAUAUGGAAGAACACCAGUGGCGAAGGCGGCUGUCUGGUCUGUAACUGACGCUGAGGCUCGAAAGUAUGGGUAGCAAACAGGAUUAGAUACCCUGGUAGUCCAUACCGUAAACGAUGAAUGCUAAGUGUUGGAGGGUUUCCGCCCUUCAGUGCUGCAGCUAACGCAUUAAGCAUUCCGCCUGGGGAGUACGGCCGCAAGGCUGAAACUCAAAGGAAUUGACGGGGGCCCGCACAAGCGGUGGAGCAUGUGGUUUAAUUCGAAGCUACGCGAAGAACCUUACCAGGUCUUGACAUACUAUGCAAAUCUAAGAGAUUAGACGUUCCCUUCGGGGACAUGGAUACAGGUGGUGCAUGGUUGUCGUCAGCUCGUGUCGUGAGAUGUUGGGUUAAGUCCCGCAACGAGCGCAACCCUUAUUAUCAGUUGCCAGCAUUAAGUUGGGCACUCUGGUGAGACUGCCGGUGACAAACCGGAGGAAGGUGGGGAUGACGUCAAAUCAUCAUGCCCCUUAUGACCUGGGCUACACACGUGCUACAAUGGAUGGUACAACGAGUUGCGAACUCGCGAGAGUAAGCUAAUCUCUUAAAGCCAUUCUCAGUUCGGAUUGUAGGCUGCAACUCGCCUACAUGAAGUCGGAAUCGCUAGUAAUCGCGGAUCAGCAUGCCGCGGUGAAUACGUUCCCGGGCCUUGUACACACCGCCCGUCACACCAUGAGAGUUUGUAACACCCAAAGUCGGUGGGGUA
rnacentral:rRNA from 2 species